AGGGUUCCUGUCCAACGUUAAUCGGGGCAGGGUGAGUCGACCCCUAAGGCGAGGCCGAAAGGCGUAGUCGAUGGGAAACGGGUUAAUAUUCCCGUACUUGGUGUUACUGCGAAGGGGGGACGGAGAAGGCUAUGUUGGCCGGGCGACGGUUGUCCCGGUUUAAGCGUGUAGGUGUGUGUUCCAGGUAAAUCCGGUUCACUUUAACACUGAGGCGUGAUGACGAGGCACUACGGUGCUGAAGCAACAAAUGCCCUGCUUCCAGGAAAAGCCUCUAAGCAUCAGGUAACAUCAAAUCGUACCCCAAACCGACACAGGUGGUCAGGUAGAGAAUACCAAGGCGCUUGAGAGAACUCGGGUGAAGGAACUAGGCAAAAUGGUGCCGUAACUUCGGGAGAAGGCACGCUGACACGUAGGUGAAGUGAUUUACUCAUGGAGCUGAAGUCAGUCGAAGAUACCAGCUGGCUGCAACUGUUUAUUAAAAACACAGCACUGUGCAAACACGAAAGUGGACGUAUACGGUGUGACGCCUGCCCGGUGCCGGAAGGUUAAUUGAUGGGGUCAGCGCAAGCGAAGCUCCUGAUCGAAGCCCCGGUAAACGGCGGCCGUAACUAUAACGGUCCUAAGGUAGCGAAAUUCCUUGUCGGGUAAGUUCCGACCUGCACGAAUGGCGUAAUGAUGGCCAGGCUGUCUCCACCCGAGACUCAGUGAAAUUGAACUCGCUGUGAAGAUGCAGUGUACCCGCGGCAAGACGGAAAGACCCCGUGAACCUUUACUAUAGCUUGACACUGAACAUUGAGCCUUGAUGUGUAGGAUAGGUGGGAGGCUUUGAAGUGUGGACGCCAGUCUGCAUGGAGCCGGCCUUGAAAUACCACCCUUUAAUGUUUGAUGUUCUAACGUGGACCCGUGAUCCGGGUUGCGGACAGUGUCUGGUGGGUAGUUUGACUGGGGCGGUCUCCUCCUAAAGAGUAACGGAGGAGCACGAAGGUUGGCUAAUCCUGGUCGGACAUCAGGAGGUUAGUGCAAUGGCAUAAGCCAGCUUGACUGCGAGCGUGACGGCGCGAGCAGGUGCGAAAGCAGGUCAUAGUGAUCCGGUGGUUCUGAAUGGAAGGGCCAUCGCUCAACGGAUAAAAGGUACUCCGGGGAUAACAGGCUGAUACCGCCCAAGAGUUCAUAUCGACGGCGGUGUUUGGCACCUCGAUGUCGGCUCAUCACAUCCUGGGGCUGAAGUAGGUCCCAAGGGUAUGGCUGUUCGCCAUUUAAAGUGGUACGCGAGCUGGGUUUAGAACGUCGUGAGACAGUUCGGUCCCUAUCUGCCGUGGGCGCUGGAGAACUGAGGGGGGCUGCUCCUAGUACGAGAGGACCGGAGUGGACGCAUCACUGGUGUUCGGGUUGUCAUGCCAAUGGCACUGCCCGGUAGCUAAAUGCGGAAGAGAUAAGUGCUGAAAGCAUCUAAGCACGAAACUUGCCCCGAGAUGAGUUCUCCCUGAGACUUUAGGUCUCCUGAAGGAACGUUGAAGACGACGACGUUGAUAGGCCGGGUGUGUAAGCGCAGCGAUGCGUUGAGCUAACCGGUACUAAUGAACCGUGAGGCUUAACCUUACA
rnacentral:rRNA from 1 species